rnacentral:rRNA from 1 species
GACGAACGCUGGCGGCGUGCUUAGCACAUGCAAGUCGAACGGAAAGGCCCUGCUUUUGUGGGGUGCUCGAGUGGCGAACGGGUGAGUAACACGUGAGUAACCUGCCCUUGACUUUGGGAUAACUUCAGGAAACUGGGGCUAAUACCGGAUAGGAGCUCCUGCUGCAUGGUGGGGGUUGGAAAGUUUCGGCGGUUGGGGAUGGACUCGCGGCUUAUCAGCUUGUUGGUGGGGUAGUGGCUUACCCAGGCUUUGACGGGUAGCCGGCCUGAGAGGGUGACCGGCCACAUUGGGACUGAGAUACGGCCCAGACUCCUACGGGAGGCAGCAGUGGGGAAUAUUGCACAAUGGGCGGAAGCCUGAUGCAGCAACGCCGCGUGCGGGAUGACGGCCUUCGGGUUGUAAACCGCUUUCGCCUGUGACGAAGCGUGAGUGACGGUAAUGGGUAAAGAAGCACCGGCUAACUACGUG